AAGAAAAUACUUGGAGCUCUAAGUGGGAAAAUGGCAACCACGAGAAACCUCUUCUUAUUGUACUUGGGCCGCCCCAGCUGCAGCUGCUUAUCGUCAUCAUCAUUAUCACUAUCAAGAGCAAUGUCGACAUUCCACUUCAAUUCGAUUCCUACUUACCCAGGCCUCGCUCGAUGUAACACUGGGAAGUCAUUUAAUUCCGCUCGCAGCAUCACCCAUGAGAAGAAUAAGAAGGAGAAGAAGUGCAGUAAGAAGAGUGACGACUCAAAUAAGAGUAAGAAGCGAGAUGAUUCGGGAUGGUCUGCCGUUGCGGAGUCGUUUGUGAAGAGGAGGACCCGUUCUGACAGGGAAUUCAUGUGGGAGCAUGUCCAGCGCUACGGCAGUAGCUGCACUCACAUCCCCGUAAUGCUGGGAGACGUCUUAGAGGUGUUUGCUCCUCACCCCCAUCGACCACCCCUCCACUCUUUCGUUGACUGUACUGUUGGAGCGGCAGGACACUCUUCUGCGAUAAUUCAUGCCCAUUCAGAAAUGCAGCUAUUUGUUGGAUUGGAUGUUGAUCCCUUGGCACAUGAAAAGGCUCACACUCAGAUCUAUGCUCUCUUGAAUGAGGAUUGCAACUUAGCUUCAAACUUGAAUGUGUACACCUUUUUGAAAAAUUUCAAGGAUAUCAAAUCUGUUCUCUGUGAUGUUGAUGAGAAGCUCUUGAUCCAUGGAGUUGAUGGUUUCUUAAUGGACUUGGGAAUCUCAUCUAUGCAGGUGAACAAUGCUGAAAGAGGGUUCGGUGUUCUCAGUGAUGGGCCUCUUGAUAUGCGGAUGAAUCCUCAGGCGAGUUUGAAAGCAGAAGACAUCUUGAAUUUUUGGCCAGAGGCUGAAGUUGGACGAAUUUUACGUGAGUAUGGGGAGGAAAGCAACUGGCAGCGUCUUCAGAAGAAAAUUGUUAAUGCGCGUUUAUAUGGAGGAUUGCAUUCCACUGGCGAACUAGUGGACCUAAUUCAGAAAACCUUCCCUGCAUCUGGAGGGAGGAAAGGCUGGAUAAAGACAGCAACGAGGGUGUUCCAAGCUUUGAGGAUAGCAGUUAACAAUGAACUCCAGACAUUGGAGGAUGCCCUUUAUGCUUGUUUUGACUGUCUUUCCUCUGGGGGUAGACUUGUUGUAAUAUCUUUCCAUAGCUUGGAGGACAGGAUUGUAAAACAAACAUUUCUUGACAUCAUUGACAAUAAGGGUGAGGAGAUUGAUGGAAAUACAAGGAAGGGAAAGGAUGACAUUGCUGAAGAAUCGUGGAUUAAACAGAAAAUAAAAGGCAGGAAAGGCACCAUUCUUACGAAGAGACCAAUAACACCUUCUGAAGAGGAAGAAAGGUUGAAUCGUCGGUGUAGGAGUGCGAAGCUCAGAGUAAUUCAGAAGGUUUGAGGCCUGAAUAUUGCGUUUCAAGCUCACUGGAAGGCACUUGAUAUGAUUCAUUUCCUCAGGUGUUUCUGUUGUUGUUGUCGGUCUACCACUCCUGAGUCUGAGGAAUGGACCUUGGAAUAGAUGAGUGUUUGGCUGGUUCAUAAAGUGGACGGAGCUAGGGGUGUCGAUGCCCGCUUACUCGAGCUCCAUUGAAGGGGAUAGUGUACCAUCUAUGUGCCUCAUUGUAGCGGCAACAAAAUCAAACCACAUAAGGUGAAAAAUGUCAGUUCUAGGGCCAUGCGCUAGUGUGAGUCAUGGACAAAAGGAUGAUCUAAUGGUAGUUUCUUGCUUUGUACGUAGUGGGCCUGGGAAUUUGAGCCAUCAAUGUAAUGUAUACGGCUGGUAGCCCAUAUCUUACAUUUUUACUCGUAUGUAAUGUUAUUGCUAAUAUAUGGAAGUUGUGUUUAGGGCCUUCAUGUUCUUUUGUAAUUGAUGGAAUAACUUUUGGAAAAAUGCAUUUAUUGGAAAAGGGAAUUUACAUAUUGUUGGAA